rnacentral:rRNA from 1 species
CCUACGGGAGGCAGCAGUGAGGAAUAUUGGUCAAUGGACGAGAGUCUGAACCAGCCAAGUAGCGUGAAGGAUGACUGCCCUAUGGGUUGUACACUUCUUUUAUAUGGGAAUAAAAUGUUCCACGUGUGGGUUUUUGUAUGUACCAUAUGAAUAAGGAUCGGCUAACUCCGUGCCAGCAGCCGCGGUAAUACGGAGGAUCCGAGCGUUAUCCGGAUUUAUUGGGUUUAAAGGGAGCGUAGGUGGAUUGUUAAGUCAGUUGUGAAAGUUUGCGGCUCAACCGUAAAAUUGCAGUUGAAACUGGCAGUCUUGAGUACAGUAGAGGUGGGCGGAAUUCGUGGUGUAGCGGUGAAAUGCUUAGAUAUCACGAAGAACUCCGAUUGCGAAGGCAGCUUACUGGACUGCAACUGACACUGAGGCGCGAAAGUGUGGGUAUCAAACAGGAUUAGAUACCCUAGUAGUC